rnacentral:lncRNA from 1 species
CUAUCUAUCUACUCAGGCGAUCAGGCGAUCAGGCGAAGCAACAUAUUACCUAGACUCACAUAACAGAAAGAGAGUGUUUAUUUUUUUAUUUUUAAAGGGAAAGAGAGUGUUUAUUGAAAAGAGAUAAGAGGAAGAGAGAGCUACCGCUGUUCUUGUUCUGCUCCGCUUUUAGAGACUAAGUAAGAACUAAGAAAAAGUUACAAAAAUUUCUUCAUUUCUUUUUUUUUUUAAUUUUCAAUUAUUGAUUGGUAAUUAGCGUACCCAUUGGAUGUUCUUUUGUUUGUUUGGUUUGUGUUCACUGUUAGGGCUUUUCUAACCUUCACAAUCAAAGCACAUUACUCUGUUCCAAUGGAUAAAGAUCUCCAGGAAAAGGAAAAGAUUAAGGAAAAUUUGGUGAGUUUUGAUUUCUUUAUUUCAAUCUUUAGUUUUUUUUCAUAGAUUGGGCCACUGUUUGGCCUCUGGGAAAGUUAAAGAAAUUGUUAAAAGGAAGAAAAAAAAAACAACAAAAGAAACAUCAGGCAUAUGGGUAUUUUUCUAAUUUGUUAGUUGCUAAAGUGUGUGUUGAGAACGGUGAUGUAUAUUUGUUUUUCAAAAUGUGGUCACAUGUUCAAUUGAUGUAGCCGUUUAUUGUGAAUUCAAGAGAUUCUGGAAAAUAUUGUAAGUUAUUGGGUUUCUUUCUUUCUAUCUUUAUUUUUGUUUCAAAAGAUUGGUGUACUGUUUGGCUUCAGGGAAACUAAAAGAAAUUUGUUAAAAUAGAAAAACAACAACAACAAAAGGAAAAUCAGGCUUUUGGGUAUUUCUUAUUUGUUUGUUGUAAGUUGUUUACAUGUGUGGUAAGAAAGGACAUAAACAUUAUUGCUUUUCCAAAUGUUGUCACAUGUUCUAUUGAUGUUGGCAUUUGUUAUUGUUGAAUUCAAAUCUGAAAUAGUGUGUAUAGUUAUUUUCCAAUCAAUGUUUUGUAAAUCCGCGUGUGUUAGUUAUUGUUACCAUAUAAGCCUAGAGUGUCUUCUAUGCCCCAGUUUACUUAUCACGUGAAUUUGGUAGUCAUUAUUUACUUUUAUGCUUGUUCUUAUUAUUAAUUCAUUUAGCAAGAAAGAAACUUAGAAUGAAUUUGGUAGUCAUUAUUUACUUUUAUGCUUGUUCUUAUUAUUAAUUCAUUUAGCAAGAAAGAAACUUAGAAUGAAUUUGGUAGUCAUUAUUUACUUUUAUGCUUGUUCUUAUUAUUAAUUCAUUUAGCAAGAAAGAAACUUAGAAUGAAUUUGGUAGUCAUUAUUUACUUUUAUGCUUGUUCUUAUUAUUAAUUCAUUUAGCAAGAAAGAAACUUAGAAUGAAUUUGGUAGUCAUUAUUUACUUUUAUGCUUGUUCUUAUUAUUAAUUCAUUUAGCAAGAAAGAAACUUAGAAUGAAUUUGGUAGUCAUUAUUUACUUUUAUGCUUGUUCUUAUUAUUAAUUCAUUUAGCAAGAAAGAAACUUAGAAUGAAUUUGGUAGUCAUUAUUUACUUUUAUGCUUGUUCUUAUUAUUAAUUCAUUUAGCAAGAAAGAAACUGCUGUACCGUACAUCCGCCUUGGCCGUACAGCAGACAUAUUUUGAUUUUUUGACCUCUUCCAAUGGGCUCAUUUGCUGUUGUUCAAUCACAAGUUUGUCUUAAUCUGACAUAUGUAGACAUUGACAUCCACCAUCAUCAACAAAAAACCAUCUUUAAAGGCCAAGAGAUCAAUCCGUGAACUUGAGUCUCUCAACAUUUCAAGUAAAUAAAGGAGGUAGCUUUGAUCUUUUUAUCCUAGCUCCUACAUAGGCUUUGAGUAUUUAAGUUUCCAUUUGAAUUUGACUUAUUUAUUUAAGUUUGCAUAUGUUUAUAAAUACUCAAAGCCUAUGUAGGAGCUAGGAUAAAAAGAUCAAAGCUACCUCCUUUAUUUACUUGAAAUGUUGAGAGACUCAAGUUCACGGAUUGAUCUCUUGGCCUUUAAAGAUGGCUUUUUGUUGAUGAUGGUGGAUGCCAAUGUCUACAUAUGUCAAAUUAAGACAAACCUUGUGAUUGAACAACAACAAAUGAGCCCAUUGGAAGAGGUCAAUACUAUAACAUCCUCAGGAAGAAAACUGAAGACUGAGUGCCCACCAACUCCAAUCUCAAUAGGAAUGUAGGUAAUAGCUUUGGAAUCUUCAUGGUACCAUAAAUCCCAAUGAUCAAAUUGAAAAUCUGUAUGUUCAAAGAAUAAUCCUGAUACGGGUACACUCCUAUAAGAUUGGACUAUGUUGAAAAUGUGAUCGGAUAUAAGUUGCUACCACCCUUUACUUGAAAUGGUGAGAGACUCAAGUUCACUCUUUGAUCCCUUGGUCUUUAAAGAUGGCUUUUUGUUGAUGAUGGUGGGUGCCAAGGUCUACAUAUGUCAAAUUGAGGCAAACCUUGUGACUGAAGUUUGCUUUAUUCCUAUGUUAUCAGGUUCCUCCAUGGAACGCCUUAUUGUGGUUUCGUAUUCUCUAAGCUCAGUUCCUUUGAAAUCGACGUAGAUUGGAAGAACUUGUUAUGUUGCUUGUUUACACAGGUAUGUGUGGCUAUGAAAGAUAUGAGCAGCUUUUGAGGAGUUCUUUGUGUAACCAAAUAACACUGUAAAACUUGAUUUAAUGCAUAUUGACUUCAGCA